AAGAACGAGAUGGAAAAAAAAUAAUUUCAUUUUACAAAAUAAAAUCGACGCUUAUUGCGUCGUGUACUGCAGUAUAGAUUCACGUACCGUUGAUGUACGAGUUGGUAUUUUUGUGGUGUUCCUUUUUUGAUAUAUUUUCCAUAUACACAAUUUUCUUUCUCAUUUGAACUCCGUGUUCUCAGAGUCUAAUUCUAAUGUACCAUCAUACCAAGUUGAGUGUCAAAGAGAAUGGUGACUUUGUAGAAAGUCCCCUCGAGAUAUAGAAUCCAGUUCUAGUUGUUCCUUUGUUGGUAGCGGAGCUGUAUAUAUUUUGUUUUCUAUGUAAUGUGAAACGUUUAAAUAUUAUAUGGUUUUUGUUCAGUUUAAUGGUUGAAGACGCGGUUAAAGUUUUAUUUUGUUAGAUUGUCCUUGUUCAAUGAAAUGAAUUGGUAAAGGUUUUUUUUUAAUAUAAAUAUUUGUUUAAUUUAGCAUACCAAUUUACAAAGAAAAAAUCGACAUCUAAGGUGCCUAAAAAGUGAAAACUUAUACACUUAGGGACAUCCGAAAACCAAUGCUUAAAAUGUGAAUUCCUCGAAUAAAUCAUAAAUUUCAUUAGCUCAUAAAUUCGUUUUCAUAUAUUGCAUCUAGCAUUGAUUGAUUGUGUUACGUUUUCAUUCAAUUUUUGUGUGAGAAGAAAAAACUGACUGAAGGAGAUGACAAUAAGAAAAACGUCACAGAGCAAAUCACAAAGAAAAUUGUUGACUGAAUAGUAUGUGAAAUGACUAUCAGAUCAAUAUUUACUUUUAGAAAUUACAAAAUAAUUAGAUGUACUAAAAUGAGAAAAUUGGCUUGGUCAUCCUAGAGAAAAAAACAUCAUUCAGCAUUUAAAGUAAUUUAAAUGAAAAAACAAAAAAAAAGUAAAAAAGAAAUAUGUUAACACAAUCACAAUUAAUGCUGCUAUGGAAAUUUAUUAUUUUCAAUUUGACCUGAAUUCAUAUUUAUACAGAAAAAAAUAAUCAUCGUAUGUACUUGCGUUAUAUUAGUUUGUAUAGCUAUUUCAAUUCGUUCGUACAAAAGCUUUGUGUACCAUAAAAAAAACGUUUCUUUGUACACAUCACAUACGUUUUUCCAUCCAUUAUACGCUAGUAUUACGAAAUAUUGAUAUUUGGUAACACAAACACAUUCACACGAUCAAGUGGAAAAGCUCUCAACACUCAUACAUACCAUCGCAAAAAAAAAGUUUCCAAAUUCUAUAUACUUUGUUCGGCUCAAUGUGUGAGUUGUAAAGUAUAAAAAAACGCGCAUUUUAUGUAUACUUGGUAUAUUUAACAUGAGAAUAAAUGAUAUUGCGCAACUCAGCAUUAAUUAUAAAAUGAAAAUGAUGUCAUGUUAAGAGUUACUUUUCUGUGCUAGUUUUCGAGACCGAGCAUAUGUAACAAAAUACACAUUUUUUGUGUUUCUUUUUUUCUUCCAUCUAAACACUGUUCGGUUCAUUGCUGAAAUUCACUCAAUGUAUUGCUUUGUACAUUCAUACUAUUAUUAUUUUUUCCCAAUUACGACAUCACGAAAUAAAUUAUAGAAACAAAAAUUUUUGAAUUCAAUUUUCGUAUACGAAAAUGUUCUGUCAGCUAUUUGAAACUUCAAUUAAAAAUGGCUUUAAUGUGUCACUUUACCAGCAAAGUCAUGAAACUUGUCUGUAGCUAAUGAAAAUUGUAUUUGUCAGUUAGUGUGUAUUCGGUAUAAUGCUUAAUUAAAACCACUUGAUCAUAUGUGUUGAAAUUGCUAGUGUGUUAUAUUUACCACAGCUGCAAAAAACUUUGUUCGCAAUUUUCUUUGUUCGGAAAAAAUUACAAUUUUAUUCGAUCGUGUGUAGAGAGAUAAACUACUUUCAUAGAAAAAUUGAAGUGUAUUAAAGUUGUGAAGUAAUUACAUUUUUUUAAUUGAAUUAAAGUUGUUGGAUUCAAUAAGGUUUUAAUUGAGUUAUUUCCACUUAAAAUGGUAAGCGACCAUGUUGGUUUCGAAUCGUUGUAUUUCUUUUUCUUUAUUUCAACAAUAUAUUCAGAUAAUUAGUAUUCCGUAAUUAUACUCCCUACAUUUGAAUUUAAUAUGUUGAAGCAGCUGUCGUCUCGUGUCCUAAUUUUAAACACUUUUUACUUCAGCUAAAAGUUAGAAGCAAAAAAUUCUCUUUUGCGAUAAGGUAAUUAGUAAAUUGAAUAAUUUUAAAGGUACAAUUGGGAACAUAAGCUUCAGUUAGGACGAUUCCCAUUUAACGUGACAUCGAAUAAGCUUAUUUUGACAAUUAAUGAAUGUAGACUUCUACACGUAGAUAACAAUCGAUAGACACAAAUACCAUAGCAACAAAAUACGUUCAUCAUUUUCUAAAAAAAAUAAAUGCCUCACCGUUUCAUUAAAUAUUUAAAAAAAAAAACGUUCGGAAAAGAAUCGAUAAUUUCUGUUAAAUGUUAACCUCAUACAACAUACGAAACAUUUUCGUUAAAAUGGAGAUCUACCCACAAUUUGAUUACAUAUAUUUUAAAAAUAAUGAACUGCUUCUCUGUAAACUAUCUUCAAAACUUACAGUAGUAAUUUGAAUUCUCUGUGCGUUGUCCUGGGAUAGUAAAAGUUCUUACUCAAUUAAACAUUGACAUAAAUGAAAUUUGUAUGUAUUUUGUGGCUACGGACGGUACGAGCAUCCUCGCUUGUGCUCAUAUAUUGGCAGAAGAAACAUUAUAUGAAGGACGUGAUGCAAUUUGGAGAAGAGCACUUUGUAAAACGAAGCUCAAGUUUUCCAUUCAAAUUUCGUGUACUUUGUUGCAUAUAUUAAGCCCGGAUACGUUAUUUUGAAUAAAAAGAAAAAUUUAAACAUUCGAUGACAUUCAUCCAAACUUGAUUGGCUCUGUAAUAAUUUCAUCAUGAUCGUUACGCAAAUCGUUCCAUUAUUCAAUCUGAUGCAUGUUACCAAAGUAUAUCUCGGAACGAGUAGCACAAAAUUAAGACCAAAAACCAACAAUGUAAAUUGGCACAAAGAUAAACUCAUGCUAUGAGUGAUAGAUUAUUUUAGGAAACGGAAAUCCUCUCCACGCGCAAAAAAAAGGUACAAACUUGUAUAAUCUGUUUGAUAAAACAGCCUUGUUUAUGUGCGAGGUAAUGGCAUUUGCCACCUCCUAAUACGCGUCUGCAUAAAGUAUAAAAAAAAUAUAUAAAACUUUUAUAUGUACAAAACGAUUUUGUGUUUGUUAGUUACGGUAUGUGUGCUUUUCCACAUUGUAUAUGCUAUAGCUAACAAUAUUGUACAUAAGCACACAUCUGUGCUGUGCCCGUUUAAUGUACAUAAAGUUUAUACACCCCACCCCACUCCCAACACUGCGACGGCAGCGCGCGCAUUCCGUUUCCAACCUAUACCUAUGAAGAACAAAACAACCGAGCCAAAUCUGAGAGCGUCAAAAAAAUUUCUUCGUUCAUUCGUUUAAAUGUCGUCGCGGCGCGUGCAUGUACAAUUUUUGUUCAGUGCAUUUGUGGCAAGUUUUCUCUUUGUGUGCUGUUCUAUCAUUAGAACAAAUCUUUUGUUUCUACCAAUGCUCGAAGUAUUUUUGUGGAAAUAAAAAAAAUUGCAAUUAUUCAUAAAAAAAAAA